UAACACAUGCAAGUCGAACGGCAGCACAGUAAGAGCUUGCUCUUACGGGUGGCGAGUGGCGGACGGGUGAGGAAUGCAUCGGAAUCUACUCUGUCGUGGGGGAUAACGUAGGGAAACUUACGCUAAUACCGCAUACGACCUACGGGUGAAAGCAGGGGAUCUUCGGACCUUGCGCGAUUGAAUGAGCCGAUGCCCGAUUAGCUAGUUGGCGGGGUAAGAGCCCACCAAGGCGACGAUCGGUAGCUGGUCUGAGAGGAUGAUCAGCCACACUGGAACUGAGACACGGUCCAGACUCCUACGGGAGGCAGCAGUGGGGAAUAUUGGACAAUGGGCGCAAGCCUGAUCCAGCCAUACCGCGUGGGUGAAGAAGGCCUUCGGGUUGUAAAGCCCUUUUGUUGGGAAAGAAAAGCAGUCGGUUAAUACCCGAUUGUUCUGACGGUACCCAAAGAAUAAGCACCGGCUAACUUCGUGCCAGCAGCCGCGGUAAUACGAAGGGUGCAAGCGUUACUCGGAAUUACUGGGCGUAAAGCGUGCGUAGGUGGUUGUUUAAGUCUGUCGUGAAAGCCCUGGGCUCAACCUGGGAAUUGCUAUGGAAACUGGGCGACUAGAGUGUGGCAGAGGGUAGUGGAAUUCCUGGUGUAGCAGUGAAA
rnacentral:rRNA from 1 species